AGUGAACGCUGGCGGUAGGCCUAACACAUGCAAGUCGAACGGCAGCACAGUAAGAGCUUGCUCUUACGGGUGGCGAGUGGCGGACGGGUGAGGAAUACAUCGGAAUCUACUUUUUCGUGGGGGAUAACGUAGGGAAACUUACGCUAAUACCGCAUACGACCUACGGGUGAAAGCAGGGGAUCUUCGGACCUUGCGCGAUUGAAUGAGCCGAUGUCGGAUUAGCUAGUUGGCGGGGUAAAGGCCCACCAAGGCGACGAUCCGUAGCUGGUCUGAGAGGAUGAUCAGCCACACCGGAACUGAGACACGGUCCAGACUCCUACGGGAGGCAGCAGUGGGGAAUAUUGGACAAUGGGCGCAAGCCUGAUGCAGCCAUACCGCGUGGGUGAAGAAGGCCUUCGGGUUGUAAAGCCCUUUUGUUGGGAAAGAAAAGCAGCAGGUUAAUACCCCGCUGUUCUGACGGUACCCAAAGAAUAAGCACCGGCUAACUUCGUG
rnacentral:rRNA from 1 species